GGCCAUUCGGAAACUAUACAAAAUUGUACCACGAUAUCUCAAACACGAAUUCCAGUUACCCUGGCGACCACAGCUAGCUUUCCAUCGAUUGUACACGAAAAAUGAAGAACGACAGGACACAGAAACGUAUCGUGCCCCUUCUUUAGUAACAUCUAUCAACUGCUGCUUCCUUACACACCAAAACCAAUAUCCUCUAAAAGACUCGAGUAAUGGCAAUGGAAUUUGUAUUUAAUGGAGAAAUUCUACAAAUUUUUCUUUAAGAAGAAAAAUAGGACUAACUGUGAUUUCAUUCAAAAGGGAAACUCCUUACAAGCAACCGCGUUUCCUUUCAUUGUCGUCCCCGAUAUUAAUCUUCCUAUUCUACUGGUCGUCCACGAAGAAGCAUUGUAAAAAAAAAAAAGAAAUAUCAUUCAAAGGACUCUGCUAACUCGUAGAAGAUCUUUCGUAAUUUCACAACUUUAGAUUUCUCUGGCGAAGAGCAUUUGGUAAUGAUAUUACACUAAAUGGUAACGUGGUUGAGAGAAGAGUUCAAAUAGAAAAAAGAAUCUCCUAGCUUUGAUCGGAUUUAACGGUAGAACAGUCAGAAAGGAAACUAGACUGAAAGCGAGAGAUGAAAACAGAAGGAAAUCGCUAUAUUGAACACUUUAGCGAGCACAGGGAAAAUUGUCUUUUAGGAUGAAGAAUUUCCUCUGGUGUUUACGGAUGUCUUUUGCAAUUAAAAUGACGAGCCUGUGAACCGUUUAUUGGAUAGGAACACUUGUGGUCUGGUUUGAUUAUAUUAUUAGGCUGAUGCAUACCAAAUGGUUAAUUUCGAAACACGGAUAGUCUGACUAUAUCUACGCUAUAUUGGAACGUAGGCUUACAAUGCGGUGACUGAUGACGGUCAGCAAACCAAGUUCGAGGGUCAACACAUAUGGCAGGCAAACAUAAGGUGGCUGACCCAAAAAGAGAAGCUUGUGAGCUCGAGCCAGCAGCUCGGACAAACAGAGCAUGAAAUUUUCAAUAAAACCUAGCCCCAUGGCAACUGUUUGACCUAAAAAACAAGGUUGACCUCAAAAGAGACGUCUUUGUGAAGACGAAGACGGUACCAAGGGACGCCGCUAAAAGGUGGCCGUGUUCAUCCUCGACGAAAGCAAUUGAAAGCGGCUAAGAGCGCUUCGCCAGCGAGAGGUUAAUGAGAGCGAGCCUACCCUCUUCCACACGAGCGUACACGGCUACCGGAAGUA